ACCGCCACCUGAAUUGUCUCACGCCGCAAAUUCAUCAUUUCCCGUUGCCGUCGAUUUUCCUGGUGGUUUUUUGUGUCAACUCGUCUAAUGCGUGGCUAGGGUUUAUCCUAUAACCGUGUGAGCGCAUUUCGAUUCCAGCUGUGGUUGACAUUAGGGUUUAUCCUGUAACCGUGUGAGGGGCUUCCGAUUCCAGUUGUGCUGGACAUUGUUGUGCCUGCCUGCAUGCGUCCUGCACUCCACGCGUUUGCACCAUGGCGUCCAAACUCGUUGUCAUCCACCACCGCCCCUGCAAACCGUUCAAACCCGUCGGAUAUUUAUAUAGACAAAGGACAACAAAAAACAAUCCCCAACUGCUGCAGGCAUUUUCAAAGAUUGCCUGAAUUUGUAAGCAAUGUGCAUUUGGAAGGGGAGACGAGUAUCGAAUCACUGCCUUUAGAUAUCUUGGUUUUUCAUCCUUCAUAUAGGUAUUUUCAAAGUUUGCCUGAAUUUGUAAGCAAGGUGUGUCUGAAUUUCUGAAACGAGGUUUUUUGCUUCGUAUAGGCAUUUUUAAAGAUUGCUUGAAUUUGUAAGCACAGUGAAUUUGGAAGGGGAGACAACUAUUGAAUCACUGCCUUCGGAUAUCUUGGGUUUUCAUCCUUCAUAUAGGCAUUUUCAAAGUUCUCCUAAAUUUGUAAGCAAGGCGUGUCUGAAUUUUUCAAACAAGUUCUUAACCUACAUUCUGUAAAAUUAUUGAAAGUCAAAAUGUCGAAGGCUCUUUGUAUUCUUUAAAAUGUGCAGGAGUACAUGCAUAUUAUGUUAAACAUCUAAUUUAAUGAUUUUUAUUUAACUUCUCCAGCCAAUUAACAAAGAAUACCAAUUGUCUUGAGUUGUAACAUCAUACAAGCCAAUGAUUUGUUCUAAGCAUAUUUUUAUAACCAACACUAUCAUGCUGCUAUGAAUGUACUCAAAUGUAUACUAUAAUAGCGUUAUAUCAAAUGCACAGGACACAUUACACAUGCCAGAUAGUGUAUCAUUGGAAUUACGGUUUUCAGUAGUAUUAGAAUAUGAGAAUCCCACUCCAACAGGGCUCUGUACAUACAACAUGUUUUAUUCUGCCAAAAAAGAUUUAUAUAUCAGCUACAAGAUACAAUUGCAAGUAGAAUAAGAGGUAAAUGCAAAGGUUUUUCAUUGUCACUGCCAAAAGCCAAGACAUAAAUUUAGCUUAUGGGAAUCCUCCAUUUGGAAGUUCAUUAGGGAAUCUCCUACAUUGUUCAAAUUUUGUACUUCUGAAUUUCAAUCUCAUAACCAGGCUUCUGAGCAAGUCAUAAUGAAUAUUACUUUUAUUCCAAGAGUAUUUAUUUUUUUCUAAAAUGCCUCCACUAAUGAGCUUGAAAGGACCAUGCUCCAUGAAUGCCCCAAAACCAACUGAUGAGCAACCCAACCCUAACAAAAUUGAACAAAUUCAUUACGUUCUGACCUUAACAAACAAAAACAUUAGAAAUUGAAUGUCAUAAACAAUGUAAAACAAUAAUACUCACAAGCAAAUAAAAUAUCUAUAUAGAAACCAAUUAAUUGGUCUUACCUCCAUUAAACCACAGAUUCAAUGGGAUAGGUGUAGGACUUUUCUCUGCCUCUACGAAGUAAUAAAACAAGGCUCUUUCAUUUACCUUAUUUGUGUUGAUAUACCCACUAUAUUGUUUGAAGCUAGUAUAAGAUGAUUAACACUCAGUGGAAAGAAAACUUGGCUUACAAUGUGAAACUACUUGUUCCCUACUGGUUGCCCCAAACCCUUCAGUUUUUUCUGCUAAGUUCAUUCUCUUCCCCAAGUCAAUGAUUAUAUUGCCAACUUCCUAUCUUCUUCAUGCAUAUCUAAUCCUCAAAUGCAUUGAUCCCAUACUUUUGUUUUCAUAAAAAAAUGUUAUUAUUCAUUGCCACAUGGUAUCAUCAGUCUUGAGUGAUCCAAAAUUAGACUUCUUUGUAAAACUGAUAGCUUAUAUUUGUAGUUGGAUUUUCAAUUUUCUGAUCUUAAUUCAAACAUUCUCGGCAUGCCUAGUUGUGAUUGUUUGCUUAGAUGUUUGGGAUUUCCUUCUUCUCCUUUCAGAGUUCAAUUUUUAUUUUUGCUCCGUACUAUAAUAGUUGGAAUACAUUAUGUCAUUGUCUUAAAUAAAACACCUUCAUGCUGAAUUCUGAGAUUGUAUUCACUCCUUUAGGAGUUCAAUUUUUCUUUUUUUCUCUAUUCUAAAAUAGCUAGGAUGCAUUAUGUCGUUGUUUAAUAAAACACAUUUAUGCUAAUGUUGAUACUGUAUUUUUUGCUUUAGAGGCAUAAUGUCAGUUUAGUGACAAAACAGUAAUGUAACUUUGAAUAAAAUAAAAUAAUUUAAAAAUCAUUUAAAUGUUGAUCUUUCUUAUGUACAUAUGCUUUUGCUUUUUUCACAACUUCAUAUAAAUAAUAAUGUGAGUUCAGAUGCAGGGAAAAUGACAUUCCUUGUUUGCUUGUGGCCAUAAAAUAUUCAUCCAUGCACUUAGAAUAUUGUUACACCUAUUUAUAAAUUUAUUAUUUUCUCACAGUUGGGACGAUUCAA